UACGGGGGGAGCAAGCGUUGUUCGGAUUUACUGGGCGUAAAGGGCGCGUAGGCGGCGCAACAAGUCACUUGUGAAAUCUCCGGGCUUAACCCGGAGCGGCCAAGUGAUACUGUCGUGCUAGAGUGCGGAAGGGGCUACUGGAAUUCUCGGUGUAGCGGUGAAAUGCGCAGAUAUCAGGAGGAACACCGGUGGCGAAGGCGGGUCUCUGGGCAGUAACUGACGCUGAGGAGCGAAAGCGUGGGGAGCGAACAGG
rnacentral:rRNA from 1 species